rnacentral:rRNA from 1 species
UACGGAGGGGGCUAGCGUUGUUCGGAAUUACUGGGCGUAAAGCGCGCGUAGGCGGCUUUGUAAGUUAGAGGUGAAAGCCCGGAGCUUAACUCCGGAACUGCCUUUAAGACUGCAUCGCUAGAAUUGUGGAGAGGUGAGUGGAAUUCCGAGUGUAGAGGUGAAAUUCGUAGAUAUUUCGGAAGAACACCAGUGGCGAAGGCGACUCACUGGACACAUAUUGACGCUGAGGUGCGAAAGCGUGGGGAGCAAACG